AUUGAACGCUGGCGGCAUGCUUUACACAUGCAAGUCGAACGGUAACAGGCCUUCGGGUGCUGACGAGUGGCGAACGGGUGAGUAAUGCAUCGGAACGUACCCAGAGGUGGGGGAUAACGCAGCGAAAGCUGUGCUAAUACCGCAUGUGAUCUGAGGAUGAAAGCGGGGGACCGAGCAGCAAUGUUUGGCCUCGCGCCUUUGGAGCGGCCGAUGUCGGAUUAGCUAGUUGGUGGGGUAAAGGCCUACCAAGGCGACGAUCCGUAGCUGGUCUGAGAGGACGACCAGCCGCACUGGGACUGAGACACGGCCCAGACUCCUACGGGAGGCAGCAGUGGGGAAUUUUGGACAAUGGGCGCAAGCCUGAUCCAGCAAUGCCGCGUGCGGGAAGAAGGCCUUCGGGUUGUAAACCGCUUUUGGCAGGAACGAAACGGUGUCCGCUAAUACCGGGCGCUAAUGACGGUACCUGCAGAAUAAGCACCGGCUAACUACGUG
rnacentral:rRNA from 1 species